rnacentral:sRNA from 1 species
CUGAGAUCCCCAGAGCCUGGAGUCCUCUGGUUAUUUCCAGGACAGGGUCAGCACUGGGCAGAUUUCCCCUAUCUUCUGCCCAUCAGUAAUAUGCCUUUAUUCUUAACUAUUAGACACCCACUUUCAGGGCUGAGGGCAUAGUUCAGUCUCCAGGGCCCAUUCAGUCCUUGGCUUCU